CCGAGUGCUUUUAUACAGGUCACAUAACUCCGAGGUGACUACUAAUAUCUUUAUAAAUUUUAGUAGGGGGUACAUUAUGCAUUAUAAUCUACAGUUUUUAUGUGCUUUACAAUGUAAAGAAUGGCUUCACUUACAUACUUCUAAAUGACACGUAUUAAUAGGCUAUGCUUUUGCCCCCCUUCCCUUGCUGAUUUUAGUUUCCUCCUUAUGUUUCCUUGUAGUUCUUUUUUGGAGUUAAGUACCUUUAUUUCUCUGCUGUAUUCUGCCCCUUUCCUUCCUGCUUGCCAUGGUUUACUUAAGUUGCAGGCUGAGAUCGGUGGAGGGGGAGUUGGAGUGAGAUUAAAACUGGGGAUUGAAAGAGGGAGCGAAACUUGAGACGUGGGCGGAAGGCAGGGAGACCGGAGAAGAAGCAUGACGGGAAGAAACCGACAGAGCUGGAGUGAAAUGUGAGAAUCUGGAUGCCCGGAAGGGAGGAGGAGCAAGACUGACGAGAGACCGUGCAAAGGGAACCGGAAGACUGCAGAGGCAGCAUGUGAGGGAAGAAGCUGCACGGAGCGAACAGUCGGCAGCACAGAGAAAGACCUUUUUAAGUUAAAGCAGGGGCUGAGAGGGAGCGCAACAGCUGGAGUGUGCUAGCGGAAUGGUGCUAAUAGACAUAAUGUUUGCUGACGUCUCGACAUAUCCCCCAGAGGCCCAUAAUGGUCUGGAGAGGAAAUUGCCACUCUGAAGUUUAAGAUGUUGAUGGAGGCCCAGUGUUUGAAUUGGAACUCACCUGCAAGCGGUCCGUUUGGAGCGUGAUGUACCUGAAAGAGUGGCGCAGGAUGAUGAUCAGAGAAGGUGCCGCUUGUUUAAUAUACAGUGUCAUCGGGCGAUCGGCAGUGAGAGUUCCGAUCGGGUGAUGCCAGACACUUCUGAACAGCGCUGUUGGAAACGGACCGGCUGAUAACGAGCACCGCAUACAUCCACUUCCCCACAGCUGGGGUGAAUUAGCGAUGGAAUUCUGCUACCGACACCUACAGUAAGUUGAGCAACUCAGAUUGUGAGCCGCAAGCCCUAUGCGGAGCUCAUUCUAACAGCCCAUAACUAGGACGGACUUUUGAUGGGUUUUCACUCUUGGAUGAUCGACAACCCAGGGGGAAUUUGUGACGUUCAGCAUCCAGGGUGCGGGGUGUGUGGUGCCCGACUCCCCCGUUGAUGGUGCCUUUUUUGAUGCGGGGGCCUUUGAUGGAUAUGCUUACUUGACAAGUUCACCAUACCCCGUAUUAGACACUAUUACCCGGAAUAUGUAAAGUUGGACAGUAAAUUAAGCCAUCCUAGAUGAAGAGACUUCGCGAAAUGAACUUUACUUUUGGAUCUGAAAUAGACUGUGAGAUAUAUAUUUGUUUUAUUUUUCUUUUCCCACAUUUCUUUCUUUCACUUUUUUCUUUCACUUUUUUAUUCUUAUUUUUUAUGUAUAUAUUUUUAUACAUUUAUUCUUUUUUAUUCUUCUUUAUGUAAAUGUUAUGCACUCACACAGUCCUCAAUAUUGUGUUCUUUUUUAGCUUUUAGUUUUCAUGCGGGGGUAUGCUCACCUAACUUGUACACAUUUCAAUUUUAAUCUUUAAUCAUGGCAUUUUUGCUGCUUAAAUAUUGCUUAGCUUAAUAAUUAA